GGUCCUUUAGCUUAAUUGGUAAAGCGGUCGGUUGAAGCCCGAUAGUCUACGGUUCGAUUCCGUGAGGGACCAC
rnacentral:tRNA from 2 species